rnacentral:misc_RNA from 1 species
GAGAUGGUGCGCAAGCACUUUUCCAAUUCAUACACCUGUGCACUGUGGUCUUCGGACCGUCUUACAAACAUUGUAGUCAUGAACGUCUUUUAUUAUAACAAAAUA